rnacentral:misc_RNA from 1 species
GAUGAAGAACGUAGCGAAAUGCGAUAAGUAAUGUGAAUUGCAGAAUUCAGUGAAUCAUCGAAUCUUUGAACGCACAUUGCGCCCCCUGGUAUUCCGGGGGGCAGGCCUGUUCGAGCGUCAUUUCACCACUCAAGCCUCGCUUGGUAUUGGGCAACGCGGUCCGCCGCGUGCCUCAAAUCGUCCGGCUGGGUCUUCUGUCCCCUAAGCGUUGUGGAAACUAUUCGCUAAAGGGUGUUCGGGAGGCUACGCCGUAAAACAACCCCAUUUCUAAGGUUGACCUCGGAUCAGGUAGGGAUACCCGCUGAACUUAAGCAUAUCAAUAAGCGGAGGA